rnacentral:rRNA from 1 species
UACAGAGGGUGCAAGCGUUAAUCGGAAUUACUGGGCGUAAAGCGUGCGUAGACGGUUACAUAAGUCGGGUGUGAAAGCCCCGGGCUCAACCUGGGAAUUGCAUUCGAGACUGCGUAGCUAGGGUGCGGAAGAGGGAAGCGGAAUUUCCGGUGUAGCGGUGAAAUGCGUAGAUAUCGGAAGGAACACCAGUGGCGAAAGCGGCUUCCUGGUCCAGCACCGACGUUCAGGCACGAAAGCGUGGGGAGCAACA